rnacentral:rRNA from 1 species
UCUCAGUUCAGACUGCAGGCUGCAACUCGCCUGCACGAAGUCGGAAUUGCUAGUAAUCGUAGGUCAGCAUACUACGGUGAAUACGUUCCCGGGCCUUGUACACACCGCCCGUCAAACCAUGAGAGUUGCAACACCCGAAGUCGGUAGUCUAACCGCAAGGAGGACGCCGCCGAAGGUGGGGUUGGUGAUUAGGGUUAAGUCGUAACAAGGUACC